UUUCCUGGUCUGAAGUAAGGAGGAUGCUGAUCCUGGGGCUGGUCCUGGUAUACCAGUCUGCCAAUACCUUGCAAAGCUGAGCCACAGUAGUUCUUGGAUUCCUGGCCUGUCUGUCUACAUUCCAUAAGAGGAGAGGUACCCUUACUGUGUGCCCAUCUGACCUUGAAGGACAGGAGGCGUCAUCUGCGAUUCUGCAUUGAAAAGUAAUUGAUAGCUGUCAAGGAGUAAGCUAAAGGAGCAGAACCCACAAGAUCUAUCACUGCUAACAGGCAAAACUGGAGAAACAACCUGCUGAGAAUAGGCCAUGGUACGUGCCAAAGUUGUGCGUGUACGCCGUGCUGUACUUGAGCUACAUCUGCAUACCACUGACCUACUCCAGGGCCAAAGGUUAUGGAGAAGAUUUGCGGGCGACUAUCUGCACUUUGGACAUCUACCCGAUUCGUCUGUUACAAAGUGACUCCUCUGACUCUGGGAGACAUAAGCCCUAUAUAACGUUUUUUUUUAUAUGGGUUUCUUGCAAUAUUGAGGAUCUCAGAAUAUGGAGAGUUGUAUCAUAAUAUUUGAAUAAUGUGUCCUCUUGUAACAAGGACAGGAAAUCUUUACACCAAUUAUCCAUUGAUGAUUUCCACAGAUCUUUUGUCCAUGUUUUUAAAAUAUGUCAAUAGACCAGUUUGGGUUUGUAUUUCUUUUGUUUAAAUUUAAUAAAAAUCUUGUGAAACAGGUCUAAAAUUUUAUCAGAGAGUAUAUACAAGCAGGGGCAGAAGAAACUUUUUUUUCCCCCUGAGGGCACUCUUAUAGUUAUAAAAUUUAACUUUUAUUACUGUAUUUUAAAAACAAUAAGUAUUGUAAUCACAUACAGAUAGACAAACAUCACAUAUAACAUAGUUGUAGAUAAUAGCAGAGAUAAUAAAUUAUCUUGCUGUAAUAAAUGCUUUAAAUAGACAAAGUGUAGUUCACUGAUAAUUCAGAAAGCUUAAGCGAAAUAAUUAUUUUUCAAACCUGGAACCAUAUUUUCAAGGUCUCAGAUAAUUCCUAUUGAUACAGUAGGUAACCACUCACAGUGCAGAUACUGUAUAUGGUCAGUAAAGAAUAAUAAUGACUCCAAACAACAAUCACCAAUGAGUCCAUACCACAGACUAUCUCACAAAAUUGCCAAAUAGUUGAUAUCAGUCCUUAAUGUCAAUAUUGCUGAUUAAUAACACAAUGUGAGGGUAUGUCAUGCAGGAUAAAGGUAAAACUCCUUGCAUGAGUGGAGGGGUAGUAAUAGGCAACA